rnacentral:rRNA from 1 species
GGUUAAGUGACUAAGCGUACACGGUGGAUGCCUAGGCAGUCAGAGGCGAUGAAGGGCGUGCUAAUCUGCGAAAAGCGUCGGUAAGGUGAUAUGAACCGUUACAACCGGCGAUACCCGAAUGGGGAAACCCAGUGUGUUUCGACACACUAUCAUGUCAUGAAUACAUAGUGGCAUGAGGCGAACCGGGGGAACUGAAACAUCUAAGUACCCCGAGGAAAAGAAAUCAACCGAGAUUCCCCCAGUAGCGGCGAGCGAACGGGGAGGAGCCCAGAACCUGAAUCGGCUUGUGUGUUAGUGGAAGCGUCUGGAAAGUCGCGCAGCAAAGGGUGAUAGCCCCGUACACUAAAAUGCACAGGUCGUGAGUUCGAUGAGUAGGGCGGGACACGUGACAUCCUGUCUGAAUAUGGGGGGACCAUCCUCCAAGGCUAAAUACUCCUGACUGACCGAUAGUGAACCAGUACCGUGAGGGAAAGGCGAAAAGAACCCCGGCGAGGGGAGUGAAAUAGAACCUGAAACCGUGUACGUACAAGCAGUGGGAGCACCUUCGUGGUGUGACUGCGUACCUUUUGUAUAAUGGGUCAGCGACUUAUAUUUUGUAGCAAGGUUAACCGUAUAGGGGAGCCGUAGGGAAACCGAGUCUUAACUGGGCGAAUAGUUGCA